AUUGAACGCUGGCGGCAUGCUUUACACAUGCAAGUCGAGCGGUAACAGGCCUUCGGGUGCUGACGAGUGGCGAACGGGUGAGUAAUGCAUCGGAACGUACCCAGAGGUGGGGGAUAACGCAGCGAAAGCUGUGCUAAUACCGCAUGUGAUCUGAGGAUGAAAGCGGGGGACCGAGCAGCAAUGUUUGGCCUCGCGCCUUUGGAGCGGCCGAUGUCGGAUUAGCUAGUUGGUGGGGUAAAGGCCUACCAAGGCGACGAUCCAUAGCUGGUCUGAGAGGACGACCAGCCACACUGGGACUGAGACACGGCCCAGACUCCUACGGGAGGCAGCAGUGGGGAAUUUUGGACAAUGGGCGCAAGCCUGAUCCAGCAAUGCCGCGUGCGGGAAGAAGGCCUUCGGGUUGUAAACCGCUUUUGGCAGGAACGAAACGGUGUCCGCUAAUACCGGGCGCUAAUGACGGUACCUGCAGAAUAAGCACCGGCUAACUACGUG
rnacentral:rRNA from 1 species